rnacentral:rRNA from 1 species
AGCGAACGCUGGCAGCAGGCCUAACACAUGCAAGUCGAACGAACCUUUCGGGGUUAGUGGCGGACGGGUGAGUAACACGUGGGAACGUGCCUUUAGGUUCGGAAUAACUCAGGGAAACUUGUGCUAAUACCGAAUGUGCCCUUCGGGGGAAAGAUUAAUCGCCUUUAGAGCGGCCCGCGUCUGAUUAGCUAGUUGGUUGAGGUAAUGGCUCACCAAGGCGACGAUCAGUAGCUGGUCUGAGAGGAUGAUCAGCCACAUUGGGACUGAGACACGGCCCAAACUCCUACGGGAGGCAGCAGUGGGGAAUCUUGCGCAAUGGGCGAAAGCCUGACGCAGCCAUGCCGCGUGAAUGAUGAAGGUCUUAGGAUUGUAAAAUUCUUUCACCGGGGACGAUAAUGACGGUACCCGGAGAAGAAGCCCCGGCUAACUUCGUG